rnacentral:precursor_RNA from 1 species
UAGACAUAAGCCUGUGAGAAAUGGUUAAAAUUUUUCACAGUCUUUAUGUCUAG